rnacentral:ncRNA from 1 species
GGUCAAGCGAAUAAGCGCACACGGUGGAUGCCUUGGCGGUCAGAGGCGAUGAAGGACGUGGCAGCCUGCGAAAAGUAUCGGGGAGCUGGCAACAAGCUUUGAUCCGGUAAUGUCCGAAUGGGGAAACCCACCCGCUUGCGGGUAUCCUGCAGUGAAUACAUAGCUGCUGGAAGCGAACCUGGUGAACUGAAAUAUCUAAGUAACCAGAGGAAAAGAAAUCAACCGAGAUUCCGUAAGUAGCGACGAGCGAACGCGGACUAGCCCUUAAGCUGAUUUGGUUCUAGGAAGACGCUCUGGAAAGAGCGGCCAUAGAAGGUGAUAGCCCUGUAUCUGAAAGGGCCAUUUCAGUGAAGACG